rnacentral:rRNA from 1 species
GAUCAUGGCUCAGGAUGAACGCUAGCUACAGGCUUAACACAUGCAAGUCGAGGGGCAGCACAGUGUAGCAAUACAUGGGUGGCGACCGGCGCACGGGUGCGUAACGCGUAUCCAACCUUCCCGUUACUCUUGGAUAGCCUUCCGAAAGGGAGAUUAAUACAAGAUGGUAUUCAAAUUCCGCAUGUUAUUUGAAUUAAAGAUUUAUCGGUAACGGAUGGGGAUGCGUGACAUUAGGUAGAUGGCGGGGUAACGGCCCACCAUGCCUACGAUGUCUAGGGGUUCUGAGAGGAAGGUCCCCCACACUGGAACUGAGACACGGUCCAGACUCCUACGGGAGGCAGCAGUGAGGAAUAUUGGUCAAUGGGCGGGAGCCUGAACCAGCCAAGUAGCGUGAAGGAUGACUGCCCUACGGGUUGUAAACUUCUUUUGUUUGGGAAUAAAAGACGCUACGUGUAGCGUUCUGCAUGUACCUUACGAAUAAGCAUCGGCUAAUUCCGUG